rfam:Dipodomys ordii contig_78652, whole genome shotgun sequence.
GGUGGCUUAGUGGUAGAGCACUUGCCUUGCAUGCAUGAGGCCCUGGGUUCAAUUCCUCAGCACCA